UACGAAGGGGGCUAGCGUUGCUCGGAAUCACUGGGCGUAAAGGGCGCGUAGGCGGAUCUUUAAGUCGGGGGUGAAAGCCCAGGGCUCAACCCUGGAAUUGCCUUCGAUACUGAAGAUCUCGAGACCGGAAGAGGUAAGUGGAACUGCGAGUGUAGAGGUGAAAUUCGUAGAUAUUCGCAAGAACACCAGUGGCGAAGGCGGCUUACUGGUCCGGUUCUGACGCUGAGGCGCGAAAGCGUGGGUAGCAAACAGG
rnacentral:rRNA from 1 species